rnacentral:rRNA from 1 species
AAAUUGAAGAGUUUGAUCAUGGCUCAGAUUGAACGCUGGCGGCAGGCCUAACACAUGCAAGUCGAGCGGUAGCACAGAGAGCUUGCUCUCGGGUGACGAGCGGCGGACGGGUGAGUAAUGUCUGGGAAACUGCCUGAUGGAGGGGGAUAACUACUGGAAACGGUAGCUAAUACCGCAUAAUGUCGCAAGACCAAAGUGGGGGACCUUCGGGCCUCAUGCCAUCAGAUGUGCCCAGAUGGGAUUAGCUUGUAGGUGGGGUAACGGCUCACCUAGGCGACGAUCCCUAGCUGGUCUGAGAGGAUGACCAGCCACACUGGAACUGAGACACGGUCCAGACUCCUACGGGAGGCAGCAGUGGGGAAUAUUGCACAAUGGGCGCAAGCCUGAUGCAGCCAUGCCGCGUGUGUGAAGAAGGCCUUCGGGUUGUAAAGCACUUUCAGCGGGGAGGAAGGCGGUGAGGUUAAUAACCUCAUCGAUUGACGUUACCCGCAGAAGAAGCACCGGCUAACUCCGUGCCAGCAGCCGCGGUAAUACGGAGGGUGCAAGCGUUAAUCGGAAUUACUGGGCGUAAAGCGCACGCAGGCGGUCUGUCAAGUCGGAUGUGAAAUCCCCGGGCUCAACCUGGGAACUGCAUUCGAAACUGGCAGGCUAGAGUCUUGUAGAGGGGGGUAGAAUUCCAGGUGUAGCGGUGAAAUGCGUAGAGAUCUGGAGGAAUACCGGUGGCGAAGGCGGCCCCCUGGACAAAGACUGACGCUCAGGUGCGAAAGCGUGGGGAGCAAACAGGAUUAGAUACCCUGGUAGUCCACGCCGUAAACGAUGUCGAUUUGGAGGUUGUGCCCUUGAGGCGUGGCUUCCGGAGCUAACGCGUUAAAUCGACCGCCUGGGGAGUACGGCCGCAAGGUUAAAACUCAAAUGAAUUGACGGGGGCCCGCACAAGCGGUGGAGCAUGUGGUUUAAUUCGAUGCAACGCGAAGAACCUUACCUGGUCUUGACAUCCACAGAACUUAGCAGAGAUGCUUUGGUGCCUUCGGGAACUGUGAGACAGGUGCUGCAUGGCUGUCGUCAGCUCGUGUUGUGAAAUGUUGGGUUAAGUCCCGCAACGAGCGCAACCCUUAUCCUUUGUUGCCAGCGGUCCGGCCGGGAACUCAAAGGAGACUGCCAGUGAUAAACUGGAGGAAGGUGGGGAUGACGUCAAGUCAUCAUGGCCCUUACGACCAGGGCUACACACGUGCUACAAUGGCAUAUACAAAGAGAAGCGACCUCGCGAGAGCAAGCGGACCUCAUAAAGUAUGUCGUAGUCCGGAUUGGAGUCUGCAACUCGACUCCAUGAAGUCGGAAUCGCUAGUAAUCGUAGAUCAGAAUGCUACGGUGAAUACGUUCCCGGGCCUUGUACACACCGCCCGUCACACCAUGGGAGUGGGUUGCAAAAGAAGUAGGUAGCUUAACCUUCUGGGAGGGCGCUUACCACUUUGUGAUUCAUGACUGGGGUGAAGUCGUAACAAGGUAACCGUAGGGGAACCUGCGGUUGGAUCACCUCCUUA